rnacentral:rRNA from 1 species
AUACGUAGGGUGCAAGCGUUAAUCGGAAUUACUGGGCGUAAAGCGUGCGCAGGCGGUUUUGUAAGACAGAGGUGAAAUCCCCGGGCUCAACCUGGGAACUGCCUUUGUGGGUGCAAGGCUAGAGUACGGCAGAGGGGGAUGGAAUUCCGCGUGUAGCAGUGAAAUGCGUAGAUAUGCGGAGGAACACCGAUGGCGAAGGCAAUCCCCUGGGCCUGUGCUGACGCUCAUGCACGAAAGCGUGGGGAGCAAACAGGAUUAGAUUCCCUGGUAGUCCACCCCCUAAACGAUGUCAACUGGUUGUUGGGUCUUCAUUGACUCAGUAACGAAGCUAACGCGUGAAGUUGACCGCCUAGGGAGUACGGCCGCAAGGUUGAAACUCAAAUGAAUUGACGGGG